GACUCGUUAGCUCAGUUGGUAGAGCAAUUGACUUUUAAUCAAUGAGUCACUGGUUCGAGCCCAGUACGGGUCA
rnacentral:tRNA from 1 species